UUCGAUGAUCCCACUGACCGGUGCUUUUCUUAUGUGACACACGCAGGCCCCCACUGGAUCUGAGUUCUUUGGUUGUUCCUAGGUACGAUUCUUGAGUUGAAGGACCCGAUCUGAUUUCUUUACUGGUUCGUAUGUACGUUUUUGAAGUUUCUGCACCCGAUCUGAGAUAUUAGGUUCGGUUCUGAGUGAUUUCUUAUUUUUUUGGUUGCUAGGUUUGCCGAUCAGACUCCCCCUCCUCCGGACGCCACUGAUAUGUUCGUGGUUCGGUUGCGGAUCUGAGUUCCCUAUCCUCUCACAUGCUGUUCUCCCUGUUGCUGUUGUUGCAGUAAAAUAUCCUAGCCCUUGCCCCUCUGUGCAUGCGCAUGUUAUCCUAAAACCAUGCUAUCGAUGGUUACUAGGUGGUUGAAAU
rnacentral:lncRNA from 1 species